GCCUUAGCUCAGUUGGUAGAGCAAUGGACUGAAAAUCCAUGUGUCCCUGGUUCGAUUCCUGGAGG
rnacentral:tRNA from 1 species